AACGUAGGGUGCGAGCGUUAAUUGGAAUUACUGGGCGUAAAGCGUGCGCAGGCGGUUUUGUAAGGCAGAUGUGAAAUCCCCGGGCUCAACCUGGGAAUGGCAUUUGGGACUGCAAGGCUGGAGUGCGGCAGAGGAGACUGGAAUUCCUGGUGUAGCAGUGAAAUGCGUAGAUAUCAGGAGGAAUACCGAUGGCGAAGGCAGGUCUCUGGGCAUUAACUGACGCUGAGGAGCGAAAGCAUGGGGAGCGAACAGG
rnacentral:rRNA from 1 species